rnacentral:rRNA from 3 species
AGACCCGAAACCCGGUGAUCUAGCCAUGGGCAGGUUGAAGGUUGGGUAACACUAACUGGAGGACCGAACCGACUAAUGUUGAAAAAUUAGCGGAUGACCUGUGGCUGGGGGUGAAAGGCCAAUCAAACCGGGAGAUAGCUGGUUCUCCCCGAAAGCUAUUUAGGUAGCGCCUCGUGAAUUCAUCUCCGGGGGUAGAGCACUGUUUCGGCUAGGGGGCCAUCCCGGCUUACCAACCCGAUGCAAACUGCGAAUACCGGAGAAUGUUAUCACGGGAGACACACGGCGGGUGCUAACGUCCGUCGUGAAGAGGGAAACAACCCAGACCGCCAGCUAAGGUCCCAAAGUCAUGGUUAAGUGGGAAACGAUGUGGGAAGGCCCAGACAGCCAGGAUGUUGGCUUAGAAGCAGCCAUCAUUUAAAGAAAGCGUAAUAGCUCACUGGUCGAGUCGGCCUGCGCGGAAGAUGUAACGGGGCUAAACCAUGCACCGAAGCUGCGGCAGCGAACGUAUCACCCAAGACAACUUUACGGAGUUGACGAUUGACGGAGCGAAGCGACGUCAAAGCGUUCAUUAAAGUCGAGUUGGCUUAGGGAUACGUUCGUUGGGUAGGGGAGCGUUCUGUAAGCCUGUGAAGGUGUGUCGUGAGGCAUGCUGGAGGUAUCAGAAGUGCGAAUGCUGACAUAAGUAACGAUAAAGCGGGUGAAAAGCCCGCUCGCCGGAAGACCAAGGGUUCCUGUCCAACGUUAAUCGGGGCAGGGUGAGUCGACCCCUAAGGCGAGGCCGAAAGGCGUAGUCGAUGGGAAACGGGUUAAUAUUCCCGUACUUGGUGUUACUGCGAAGGGGGGACGGAGAAGGCUAUGUUGGCCGGGCGACGGUUGUCCCGGUUUAAGCGUGUAGGUGUGUGUUCCAGGUAAAUCCGGUUCACUUUAACACUGAGGCGUGACGACGAGGCACUACGGUGCUGAAGCAACAAAUGCCCUGCUUCCAGGAAAAGCCUCUAAGCAUCAGGUAACACGAAAUCGUACCCCAAACCGACACAGGUGGUCA